AGAGUUUGAUCCUGGCUCAGGAUGAACGCUAGCGGCAGGCUUAAUACAUGCCAUUUCGAGGGGCAGCACGAGUAGCAAUACUUGGUGGCGACCGGCAAACGGGUGCGGAACACGUACGCAACUUUCCCAAAACUGGUGAAUAGCCUUCCGAAAGGGAGAUUAAUACACCGUAAGAUAAUGGAGUGGCAUCACUUUAUUAUUAUAGCUCCGGCGGUUUUGGAUGGGCGUGCGGCUGAUUAGGUAGUUGGCGGGGUAACGGCCCACCAAGCCUGCGAUCAGUAACUGGUGUGAGAGCACGACCAGUCACACGGGCACUGAGACACGGGCCCGACUCCUACGGGAGGCAGCAGUAAGGAAUAUUGGUCAAUGGACGCAAGUCUGAACCAGCCAUGCCGCGUGCAGGAUGAAGGCCCUCUGGGUUGUAAACUGCUUUUAUAGGGGACGAAAAAAGGGCUUUCUAGCUCGUCUGACGGUACCCUAGGAAUAAGCACCGGCUAACUCCGUGCCAGCAGCCGCGGUAAUACGGAGGGUGCAAGCGUUAUCCGGAUUUACUGGGUUUAAAGGGUGCGUAGGUGGGUCGGUAAGUCAGCGGUGAAAUCUUCGAGCUUAACUCGGAAACUGCCAUUGAUACUAUCGAUCUUGAAUCAUCUAGAGGUAAGCGGAAUAUGUCAUGUAGCGGUGAAAUGCUUAGAUAUGACAUAGAACACCAAUUGCGAAGGCAGCUUACUAUGGAUGUAUUGACACUGAGGCACGAAAGCGUGGGGAUCAAACAGGAUUAGAUACCCUGGUAGUUCCACGCCCUUAAACGAUGGAUACCUCCACAUCAGCGAUACCACUGUUGGUGU
rnacentral:rRNA from 1 species